rnacentral:tRNA from 1 species
GGUCCCGUAAUUCAAUGGAUAGAAUAAGUUUCCUAAACUUUGGAUAUAGGUUCGAUUCCUGUCGGGACUA